rnacentral:rRNA from 1 species
AGGGGAAGACUCACAUAGAGGCAGCAGUAGAGAAUCUUGUGCAAUAAACGAAAGUAUGACACAGAGAGGACACAUUUAAUUGAGCCCGUCAAAUUAAGUGCCAGCCGACGCGGUUAAACUUAAGGGCUGGUCUUUAUAAGUAAAAAGGCGUAAAGGAUGUGUAGGCCAAGAAACGACCCAAGUAGGUAAAUGGAAUUUUUCUGGAGCGGUAGAAUGUGAGGAUAGAAAAUAGAACCCCUAAGGUAAAAACUAUUUACCACAAGGUAGGCUGAAACAUGAGAGUGUGGGGAGCAAACAGGAUUAGAGACCCUGGUAGUCCACACUGUGAACUUUGAAGAUGAUGCUUAGCAGACCCGAAAGGUAAAAUCUUCCGCCUGAGUAGUACGAUCGCAAGAUUAAAAUUCAAAAACUUUGGCUGUUCACUAUUUCGAUUAGAGGAGCGUGUAGUUUAAUUCGAUGGUCCGCGUGUUACCUUACCCCAACUUGAAUCUGUGACCGGUAUUGCAUGGCCGUCGUAAGUUCGUGUAUUAAGCUAGAAGGGACCCAACCCGGGCAUUUGCCCGGAGGAAGUCAGGUCUUAUGGUCCGAAUGUUGGGGGAUUUUAUGCGCUACAUUUUCUUAUAUAAUGAGAAACCUGGAAGGUGAGUCUCUAAAGUAAGAGUUCGGAAGGUCGCUGUAAGACGACUGGAAGUUGGAUUUAAUAGUAAUCGGAAAGUAGGGCGUUCCGGUGAAUUGGUACAAGUGUUAGCACAAAUUGCCCGUCACCUUUACUUAGAAUGGUUAUUCGGAUGUCUUCGGUGAUUAUGAAUGCCUAC